rnacentral:lncRNA from 1 species
AACAAAUAAAUCAUAAAAAAUAUCAAAAUUAAUCCAAAAAAUAAAUUUAGUUCAGAAAAUGAAAGAGGAAAAUAUUAGAAUUUUUUUGGUGAAAGUCCCAUAUUUUUUGGAUUAAAAAUGAAAUUAAUAUUAAUUAAUCAAAAUAAAAAAUCAAAAAAUAAAAUAUAAAUAAAAAAACAAGGGCCAUCAGAUCUCCCUCAUUAAUUGAGGUGGCAGAUCUGAUGGCCAAGCGUGCG